GCUUUAGCUUACUUUAAAUCCAGGGAUGAGGAACUAAAUAUUAUUAUUCUCAAGGUAUGGUUGUUUUGGAGUUUUUGUCAAGAAAUUAGCUAUUGUUUGUAUAGAAAUGCAAUCACUCACACAUAAUUUGAUCUGCAUAGUACAUUUAGACAUAUAUGGUUUCAUGUUAGACACUCAUAUAAAGAGUGACUUAGGAUGCACUGAUAGUCAUUAUUGCCUGAUAUAUAACUAUAUUUUCUUAUGAUAGAAAGUGGAUAUGAGAUAUAAAUUAGUUCAUACAUUAAAAUUAAAGUUCACUGGCUGAUCGAUUAGGGUCUCAUAGCGUUGCCAAUCUAUGUUCCUGGUGUUCUUAUUAAUUGUUAAUUUUGGUUUUACAGUGGACCUAAAAAAUCAAAUGACUCUGCUGGUUAUUUUCCAUACAACUGUGGGAGUUCUCUUUGGAUUUCUCAUUGGUGUAUCAUUACAGAAUGCUUUUCUAAUAAAGGUAUUAAUUAGGGUUUUCCACCGGAAUGGGUUGUGUUGAAUUGGGAUGCCUGUAUCUAUAGAAUGUGUUUGGAAUUUUUGCAGAUUAGCUUUUCACUUCUAUCUUUUGAUGCACGGUUUCCCGAUAUGUGUAACCAACUAACACAAACAAAAGUCUUGAGCAUCAAAGAUCAGGGGGAUGUUCCUACGAGAUAAAUUUAUCUUACUGCUGAGGUAGUAUUCAUGUAUGCGCAUGCGAUUCUGGCCCAAGCAUCCUCUGGCUUCUGCAGGAAGGCCUGGAAUGAAGGUCUUUAAGAAAUCAAGAUUCUUAAAGAAGUGUUCAAGGUUCUGAGAAAUGUUCAAAUGUAGGACUCUGACAUAUUUUCAGGAUUCUCGAUACGACUGAUAGUUUAUAAGAGCCUUUGCCAUUUAUCAAUUUCCCAGGUUUCAAUGAGAAUUUCAAAUAGGAUUGGGACUUGCAAAAGCCUCAGGGCUUUUCUGAUCGCUGCUGACCUUCAGUCAGGUAGUUUAAAGUCAAUCGAAGAGAUGAGUUUUGCAGCAGAAUCUCAGCCAAAACAGGGAAUGCCCUGAGGAAUGUAAGGAAGCUAUUGCACCACUAAUGCAUGCUGCAGCUAGAUUUUCUGGUUUACCAGAGUACAUUGUCUAACAUUAGGCAACUAUUUCAAGCAAGAGAUGCGAACUGUCUGACUCAUUGUGUAGAUCAAAAGUUUUUCAUGUGCUCUACUGCAUCACAACGUUGGCUUUGGGAAGGCACAAGCAGAAAGGUUUAGGUACUCAACGAAUACUUCUGGAGCCAGUCAUCAGUUUUCGUUUGGAUUGUACGUAAAGCACAACUUUGAAGUUGAGCUUUAUCGUAUUGUUAAUAGGAAUUUCCACUUGCAAUUGUUGAAUUUUACAAAGAAUUAGUGUAAUAAACAGCAAUUAUCAUUUAUUUAUUAUGCAAUCACUAUUGUUUCAUCAAUAA